UUUCAUGGAUGAGCAAAGACAGUGGUAUCUUGAGAUGGAAUCUCCUCUUGGUGAAGAUGCUGAAGA
rnacentral:pre_miRNA from 1 species